GCGGGUAUAGCAUAGUGGUUAGUGCGCUUGCUUGUGGUGCAAGAAAUCGAAGGUUCAAUCCCUUCUACUCGCC
rnacentral:tRNA from 1 species